rnacentral:rRNA from 1 species
UACAGAGGAGCCAAGCGUUGUCCGGAUUGACUGGGCGUAAAGCGCACGCAGGCGGAUGCGCGCGUGGGGUGUGAAAUCUGGCCGCUUAACGGCCAGGCGCCAUCCCAUACGGCGCGUCUGGAGUGAUGCAGAGGUCGAUGGAAUUGCCGGUGUAGUGGUGAAAUGCGUAGAGAUCGGCAGGAACACCCAGGGGGAAACCAGUCGACUGGGCAUCUACUGACGCUGAGGUGCGAGAGCGUGGGGAGCGAACGGG